rnacentral:rRNA from 1 species
GUGAGGAAUAUUGGUCAAUGGGCGCAAGCCUGAACCAACCAUGCCGCGUGCAGGAAGACGGUCCUAUGGAUUGUAAACUGCUUUUAUUUGGGAAUAAACUCCGGUACGUGUACCGGCCUGAAGGUACCAAAUGAAUAAGCACCGGCUAACUCCGUGCCAGCAGCCGCGGUAAUACGGAGGGUGCAAGCGUUAUCCGGAAUCAUUGGGUUUAAAGGGUCCGCAGGCGGUCUUAUAAGUCAGUGGUGAAAGCCUACAGCUCAACUGUAGAACUGCCAUUGAUACUGUAGGACUUGAAUUCGAUCGAAGUGGGCGGAAUGUGACAUGUAGCGGUGAAAUGCUUAGAUAUGUCACAGAACACCGAUAGCGAAGGCAGCUCACUAGGUCUGGAUUGACGCUCAGGGACGAAAGCGUGGGGAGCAAACAGGAUUAGAAACCCUAGUAGUCC